GACAAGAUGUUUCGGAAACACAAGAUCUUGAAAAUCUUUAAAAGAGGUUCGACCCCUCUCCUUGUCU
rnacentral:tRNA from 1 species